rnacentral:rRNA from 6 species
CCUGGCGGCACUAGCGCGGUGGUCCCACCUGACCCCAUGCCGAACUCAGAAGUGAAACGCCGUAGCGCCGAUGGUAGUGUG